rnacentral:tRNA from 1 species
GGUAGGAUGGCCGAAGGUAGGUGGUGGAUUGUAGCUCCAUAUACAGAGGUUUGAAUCCUCUUCCUAUCA